rnacentral:tRNA from 2 species
UCGUUAGCUCAGUUGGUAGAGCAGCGGACUUUUAAUCCGUUGGUCGCGUGUUCGAGUCACGCA